ACUGACAGAAGGAACAAGGACCGAAGGACAGGAAUCUUCUGUAGGACAUACCUGCCUCGGGAUUCACAACUGAAUUGCAAAUCUCGAACAACUUGGGGGAGUUUAGUCCAGACUUGUUGGACAUAUCUCAUUCCGAUGGCAAAUGAGAGACUGGUUCAGCCGCAGCCUGCCAGACUGCUACUUUGAUCUUCUUGAACUACGGGGAAGUAUGUUUGCCUGCAAAGCACAUUCAGCUCUAAUUCAGAUAAAGCUGAUGGAGUUGUGGAGGCUACCUGUCUUCUGCUGCUUUGCUGCUGAUCCUUCGUCUCAGUUGCCAUAGAGACAAGAUCUGGAA